CCAAACAAUUCUCAUUUAAUUUGCUAUCCAAGUUUCCAAACGACAGAAUCUGUAAAUAAUAAAGAAAUACAGUGACUAAAUAUGUAAAUAAAAAAAAUUAAUCUGCUAUCAUUGUUUCCAAACAACUUUCAUUUAAUCUACUAUCUAAGUUUCCAAACAGUACCAAAAGGUACUUCAGUUUUAAUAAUAUAGAUACAAAAGGUUGAGUUUUAUAGAGUCUUAGGUUUGAUGUUGCCCAGAUGUGUUGUCUAAAGUAAUAUGGAACCAAUUGACACAAGACAAGAAGAAAUUCUUUAGUAUGGAAGAGGUUUUGCUAAGAGAUAACAACAAGUUAACAACACAGAUUUAUAGUUUCUUUGAGAACUAUAAGUCUUGCUGGUGUUAUCUUGCUAGGUGAGGUUCUCAUCUGUAAUUUCUACAGCUUUUUGUUGUUAAUUUGAAAGAAUUCUCGUCAAACUCAAAUUGAAAAACUAAACAUGAGUUAAUAAUGACUCAUGUUUCACUUUUGUUAAAAUCUGAUCAUGGUUUUGUUAUACAUGGUAACUUGAGAGGAAGGUUGGAUGUGAAGAUGAUGCUGGAGACGGUGGAGAAGAAGAAUCUCAGUGGCAGAUUCAUCUGUUGCAUUAACAUGGUGGAGAUUCAUCUCAGAAACAGAGGAGAUGAUAGCUUUGAUGGUUCAGCCGAUUGUUGGCAGUUACAAAGCCACUGAAAUCUGAUUUGAGCAACGAGAUAGGUGUGUCUGCAGAAGAGAAGGCAAUGGGAUCUUUGGACCGGCUAGAGCAAUUAUUGUAACGAGAAGGCUUGAUCAUCCUAUUGUACUGAAGAAGCUUCAUCAAUAUGUCUGGUUUCAUCUUCUUUUUACUUUUAUUUUGUAUAUAUAUAUAUAUAUAUAUAUAGAAAAUGAGCGUACAAGCCAAGCUGAUACAAAACAAAACUACAAAAAUAUGUACAACCACAAUUAAAGACUCAUAUGUACACUAAACAAAUGUACAUAUGUUUCACAAACCCUCCCACUGACCGUACAUAUGCUUUACAAAUCUUUCCAUUCUAAAUAGGAUUAAGCAACUAAUUUUCCUCCUUCUCUAUUAAGUUAGUGCAAUCAGAGAGAAAAAACUUGUUUUAGACAAAUGUAUUGGUUGCAUUAUUUCAGAAAUUUGUCUAUGCUACUAUUUUGUGCUAUGACUAUGUAAAUGUGUUUAGGAAUGUUUUUAUCAACAUUUUAUAUUUAUUUUUAGAUCUUGUUCUUGUAUUUGCAUAUUGCAACAUAUGUAUGGCCAACAUUAAUGUCCAUGUGUACACAUAGACCUCAUUAUCCACGUGUACGUAUCCACAUGUACACCGGUUUGUAAUAUCCACAACUUACGAUAUCCAUGUGUACACCAAUGUCAUGACUAAAAUAAUAUUUUUAAGCAGGCUUUCACUCAAUCCCUCAACAUAAGAAAAGAAAAAGAACUUACAAAAGCGUCAAAGCUUUUAUUCAUGGUGUCGGAGUGUCCAAAUUCUCCACCAUAUGGAGAUGAUGAUUCAUGGAUAACUAUCAAGAAAGGGGUGAAGGAGAGCUCGCGUCGGUUACGGCGGUGCUGUGACGGUUAUGGUGUUGACGAUGGAAGUACAGAUGAGGAAAUGGGUGGAUGUAAUUAUAGAACUGAACAAACCUUUGUCCCACGAGUCUAUGACCAUCAUUAACAAACCUUCAAACAAUUGAAAAACCAACACUUUUGCUAUGUCAUCUACGUCGUCGUCGAUGUCAGCCAACGUCUCCGCCGUCAUCUAUGUUCUCCCACUGUCGUCUAUGUCACCAUUUAACCAUCAUCACCAUCAUCAGACCAGCAUCUUGGUACAUCUCAAAAAAUAGAUCGAACAACAUAGAUAAUAAUUUGAAGUGAAUUAUGUUGGAAAAGAAAUCUGAAAAAGCAAAUCUGGAUGAAGAAAAGAGAGUGGGACCUACAAUAUUUUCUCAGUUAACAAAAUGUUUUAAAUUUUGUUAUAAUAGAACUAUGGUAUACUAUUUGAAAAAAAAAAAAGGUUAGUUUUGGAAUUUUGUAUGUUCCACAUGUGUGAUUUCUCGUGGAAAAUAGUGAAAAACUGCUCUAGUAAUUAUAAGUGUCUUAUAGUGUUAUAAAAAGUCAGAAAGUAACCUUGGGUGUAAUUGUUUCUUGCUAAAUUACAUAAUCAGUGGCGUUAUGAUUGUUUCCAUAUGAAGUUCUGAAAUACUAAAAGAUACCAUCAGUGUUUAUACAUUUAUACCAAAAUGUUUUAAAAUGGGAUUAUUUAUAGUGACCACCUCUACCGCAAAUUAGCUGAGGAUAAAAUAGAGUCGUCUCUCAUACCAUAUGAGUUAUGAAAUCGAUUGUUUUGUUGAAAGAAUUUACGGUAUCACAUGGUGGCUUAAAUCUUAGGGAUAUAUACUGAAUUAAAUAUAAACCAAGCUAUAUUAUGCUUGAUCUAGUAUUAUAUUACUAGCUAAAAUCCUUCAAAUUCAAUAUCAUUGUCAUUUUUUCCUUCUGACAUUAAAUUUGCUCUCUCAACUACAUAAUAUUUGUGAUAUGAUACGAUCUGUCUACUAAUAAAAUGCAUGUGUAAAUAAUAUGUGGCCAUGAGAAAACCUUAUAUUGCAAGAACUUAAGUUUAUAAAUUAUACUUAUGUUCCUGUAGAUAAGAACUACAUUAAAUGAAUAGACCAGAUUCAUAUCUCCUAGCCAGGGUCGGGCCUGAGAAAUUUUGGCCCAGAAGCAAACAAAUUUUUUUUGGCCCAUUAUCUUUAAAAAUCAGAAAAAGUGGCUAAAAAAAAGGUCUAGAGGAUCGAACUCUGCACCUCUCAUGCGCGUCACAGCGCUCUUACCAGUAGAACUAAUGUAACAUUUACAUAAUUGUUGGCCCUUUAAUAAAUAUAUAUCUUGUACGGCCCCAAGCACAUGCUUUAUGUGCCUCUACUCAGGCCCGGCCCUGCUCCUAGCCAUAUAGAACAUGAAGCGGCAAACGUAGGCUAAUUCAUGAAACGAAAACAAAUCCAUUUAAAUCCUAAUUUAACGACACAGGACGACAUAUCCAAAAUGCUGCCACGUUUGAAGUAUUCACACAUGCGAUGCAACAAAAGCGACGAUGACUCCUCUCCUGUUAAUUUGCUUGUACAAAUUAAAAUAGUACAAAUAUGCAUGCUCUCGUUUUCUUAUUAAUACGACAACUUUAUAGUAACAUAUUCAUGAACACUGGAGUUUAAUCUGUUAGUUAUGUUGCUACUCGCGAGGUAAUACCUAGUAUGUAUCACGUGCCAUUGUAAUUGUAAGAUGUUUUGAUCGAAUAUUAAUACAUACAUAUGAUCCUAUCCUAACCCACACCAUCGACUAAAAUAACAACCUUAAGAAGAAACAAGAGUUAAUUUGACGAAUUUUCUCAAGGUAUAUUAUCUGGUUAUCAUUACGUUUAUCCAAUAGAAUGAUAAGAUCAUCAUCGACGUAAAAGAACUUGAUUACAAACGUUAUCCGACUUGAAAGAAUCGCAUUUAGUAUCCUGAUGCAGUUAAAUUUGACGUGGCUAAUUCCUUAAACUUAAUAGUCGGAGACAAAAGCCCUUCUACACGUUGCGGUCGAUAUCCUCAUGAUUAUAACUAAUAUUUGCGUCCAAGAACUAGACAAUCAAACAAUAAAACAUAUCAUUAUCACCAUUAUAAGCUAAGCAAACUCCAAAAAAAUUAUAAUUGAUAAAAGAGGGAGAGAGUAAUGGGUCUUGUUUGUAAAACAGAAUUGGUUGCAUGAGAAAGAGGGAACUGUCGCAGCAAACGUAAUUGGGACAGUGGAGGAAUGUCAUAGUAUGAACGGUAUCUCUUUUGUUUUGUUUCCUCUAUUGUCUUUGUGACAUUUAUUGCAUAAAGUUAUAUAAGCCAUUAGUAUUUUGAUAUUUUUUCUGUUUUUAUUUGUUCGGUCCCCAUGUUAUGAAAAUGUUCGUGUAGAUUCUAGAUCACUCCACGCUAAGAUUUGAGAACUCAAUGGUGUUUUGUUGUGGCCCAAUAAUGACAUUCCCAUAUCAUAAUUGGUUGCAUAAUGAAAGUGUUCAAUCAUCUCAAGAUGCUCAACAGAUUGUGUGUUGGUGAUUGGCUAGUGGCUAGGGACCCAUUGGGUUACAUGAAAUGUUCAAGCAGAUUGGGGUUCAAAGUCCUUAGGUUCACAAUUAUAAAUUUUUAUUUCAAAAAACAUUAUAAAUUAAAGCAAAAUUAAUCUAUUAAAAGAUAUUAUGGUACGUAUGGUAGGUACAUUAAUCAAAAAUCAACAGCCCAAACCGGAUCUGAAGUUUCGAUGAUGAGCAACCAAUCUCAAUUCAUUCUGGUUAUGCAUAGAUCAAUUCAAAAGAAUCUAUCUACGUGCAUCUUGCCAAUCGAAACCACAAAUAACCAAAACGAGACGUACAAGUUAGUUUUUCAGACCUACACCAUGUAUGCUUAAGAUUGGCAUCUCUUCCUCAGAGAGAUUACACACUUAAUAUUUGUCUUGUAAAUGAGAUUCUUUGGGUUAUUACUCAAAAAUAUAAUAUAAAGUUUCUGAACUUCUCAAGGCACAAGACGCUACUAAAAGACAGCUCAAUCAUAGUAGAUAAUAGAAUGACGCACAACACUGAUAAAGAUUCGUCCCCAAAGAUUUCAGCAACGGUCUUUGCUUCAGUAGCGGUUACCAUAUGGAGAAGGAGGCAUGUUGUUCUGAGGUCGAUAUGGUUCUCUUGGUCUUGCAUACUCUGCAAAUAUGACCCACCCG